GACGAACGCUGGCGGCGUGCUUAACACAUGCAAGUCGAACGGAAAGGCCCUGCUUUUGUGGGGUGCUCGAGUGGCGAACGGGUGAGUAACACGUGAGUAUCCUGCCCUUGACGUUGGGAUAACUUCAGGAAACUGGGGCUAAUACCGGAUAGGAGCUCCUGCUGCAUGGUGGGGGUUGGAAAGUUUCGGCGGUUGGGGAUGGACUCGCGGCUUAUCAGCUUGUUGGUGGGGUAGUGGUUUAGCAAGGCUUUGCCGGGUAGCCGGCCUGAGAGGGUGACCGGCCACAUUUGGACUGAGCUACGGCCCAGACUCGUACGGGAGGCAGCAGUGGGGAAUAUUGCACAAUGGGCGGAAGCCUGAUGCAGCAACGCCGCGUUCGGGAUGACGGCCUUCGGGUUGUAAACCGCUUUCGCCUGUGACGAAGCGUGAGUGACGGUAAUGGGUAAAGAAGCACCGGCUAACUACGUG
rnacentral:rRNA from 1 species